rfam:Ancylostoma duodenale strain Zhejiang A_duodenale-1.0_Cont250109.1, whole genome shotgun sequence.
CCUCAUUCCUGAACCUAUAAUAAAACUGGAACAAUACAGAGAAGAUGGCAUGGCCCCUGCGCAAGGAUGACACGCAAAUUCGUGAAGCGUUCCAUAUGGUA